GUCACACUAUCAUUAACUGAAUCCAUAGGUUAAUGAGGCGAACCGGGGGAACUGAAACAUCUAAGUACCCCGAGGAAAAGAAAUCAACCGAGAUUCCCCCAGUAGCGGCGAGCGAACGGGGAGGAGCCCAGAGCCUGAAUCAGCAUGUGUGUUAGUGGAAGCGUCUGGAAAGGCGCGCGAUACAGGGUGACAGCCCCGUACACAAAAGCGCAUGUGCUGUGAGCUCGAUGAGUAGGGCGGGACACGUGGUAUCCUGUCUGAAUAUGGGGGGACCAUCCUCCAAGGCUAAAUACUCCUGACUGACCGAUAGUGAACCAGUACCGUGAGGGAAAGGCGAAAAGAACCCCGGCGAGGGGAGUGAAAAAGAACCUGAAACCGUGUACGUACAAGCAGUGGGAGCACAGGUUUACCUGUGUGACUGCGUACCUUUUGUAUAAUGGGUCAGCGACUUAUAUUCUGUAGCAAGGUUAACCGAAUAGGGGAGCCGGAGGGAAACCGAGUCUUAAUUGGGCGUUAAGUUGCAGGGUAUAGACCCGAAACCCGGUGAUCUAGCCAUGGGCAGGUUGAAGGUUGGGUAACACUAACUGGAGGACCGAACCGACUAAUGUUGAAAAAUUAGCGGAUGACCUGUGGCUGGGGGUGAAAGGCCAAUCAAACCGGGAGAUAGCUGGUUCUCCCCGAAAGCUAUUUAGGUAGCGCCUCGUGAAUUCAUCUCCGGGGGUAGAGCACUGUUUCGGCUAGGGGGCCAUCCCGGCUUACCAACCCGAUGCAAACUGCGAAUACCGGAGAAUGUUAUCACGGGAGACACACGGCGGGUGCUAACGUCCGUCGUGAAGAGGGAAACAACCCAGACCGCCAGCUAAGGUCCCAAAGUCAUGGUUAAGUGGGAAACGAUGUGGGAAGGCCCAGACAGCCAGGAUGUUGGCUUAGAAGCAGCCAUCAUUUAAAGAAAGCGUAAUAGCUCACUGGUCGAGUCGGCCUGCGCGGAAGAUGUAACGGGGCUAAACCAUGCACCGAAGCUGCGGCAGCGACACUGUGUGUUGUUGGGUAGGGGAGCGUUCUGUAAGCCUGUGAAGGUGGCCUGUGAGGGUUGCUGGAGGUAUCAGAAGUGCGAAUGCUGACAUAAGUAACGAUAAAGCGGGUGAAAAGCCCGCUCGCCGGAAGACCAAGGGUUCCUGUCCAACGUUAAUCGGGGCAGGGUGAGUCGACCCCUAAGGCGAGGCCGA
rnacentral:rRNA from 1 species